GUUAAUUAACUUGGUGCAAAAGAAUAAUAAUAAUAAUAAUAGUGAGGAGAUAAAAGAGAUUUUUAUACAAAGGGAUUUGAGUACUUAUUUUAGAAAUCUCUCUCUUAUGUGGACUAUCUUCUCCCAGUCAGGAGUAUUUGUUAAGCUUAAUGGUUGGCCUUGCAAACCCUCUUAAUGCCAGGUUACAGAGAAAGGGCAUUACAGAGUAAAACCCUGAGAUUAUAGAUCAAGGUCAAAAACACUACCAAUCUCCUAUUUUCAAAGGCAUGUGUAUGGAGUAGACAAGGUGGAAAGGCAAUAGGAGGUCCUCUGAUUCUGGAGGCAGGGAAGGAGGCCACCAUGUCAUUCUCUGCUAAUCUGACACCUGUUCCUAGCAUGUGACUUAAUCAUCAAUCCCUUAAAAUAGCAGCUUGUUCCCUAGGCAUCCUGGGUUCCUAGUUAAAAAGACUCUUCCUUAGUUUCUUUUAAACAGCAGUAAUUAGUGACAGCAUGAAAUUUUGGGGAAAUAUUUUGGAAAGCAAAAAGAAUUAAAUAAAUCAACUUUGACCUCGUUUCCUGGAAAUAGUCUCUGUCAACAUGUACUUUUACGAUGUUUAGUAUAAAUUUGGAAUGGAAUGUUCAUUAUAAAUUUGGAAUAUUAGGAAAAAACUUAAAUUAUGAAUAAAAUAAAAAUGGCUUGUAAUUCCACCAAUACUGACAUUUGGAUGCUUUUCUUUUCAGUCUUAUUUUCCUUGCACACAUGUCUUUAUCUACAGACACAUCUUUAAUAAGAUGUAGAUCUUAUUGCAUAUGCAGUUUCACGCCCUGAUUUUUUGUCCUUAAUAUUGUAUCAUGAGCAUUUUCCUUAUCAUUUCCUAUUGCCCAUACCAGAGCAUGG
rnacentral:lncRNA from 1 species